AAAGAAGCUUCAUUACUAGGGCAUCAAACCCUUUAAUCAUAUAGGACUUCUUGGGAUCAAAAGCCCUUGCCCUUGAAUUUAAAGUGGGCAGUGGUGAUUUUGUUUAGGUUCCCAAAUGGUAGGGUCAUGAUUUGGAUGGUGGGUCUGCCACGAAGUUUCAUUCCCCAAAGUAUCCCUAGUAUCAAACCAUCCUACAUGGCAUGUCUAGGGGUCAAAACAGUCAAACCAAAGUAAGUUACAGCCAAUGAGUGCACUUUAUUUUGCAUAUUGUUCCCUCCCUCUUUUCACCUUUGCUUUUUCGCUCUGGUCAUGAUCACACUCGUCCACCACCAGGCAGCAGCAGCACCACUACCACCAUAACAGGUCAACCAACCUUUAAAGGGAGAUCUCUCAGCUCUUCUUCCCUGCGAGACAGACCCCAUUAUAAAACCCAGAGAGGCAAGGGUUCUAUCAGUGCCAUACUCAGAGAAGCAUUAAAUUUAUUGUCCCCUGUUGUGCAAGAGUAAUGCAUUGAAAGUUGUUUUUACCAAAAAGUUUUUAAGGGGGAUUUACCAUCAUUUGAGGCCUCCUUGACAUUGCUGGCAUGAUGCUGAAUUGCCAAGUUGCUGACAUUGUGGAAGUUCUGAACCAAAACUGCAAAUGGGUGUCUUAGUUGCUGAUGCACAGUUGUUCCACAUUCGCCAAGUGAUUUUUCUUUGCGAUUGUAAUUUUCUGCGAGAUCAGGGAUGUGGAACCGCCUGAAUCACAACAAAGUGUCACUAUAUACGAACACUUAUCUGUUAAACAUGAAACUGGAGGCACUCUAUCUUUUUAAUUACCUCAUCUUUUUCAGAGUUGCUGCACCUUCUAAUGGUCCAUCUGUAUUAUACCCAUUUUGAAAUAAUACCCUCUUGUUAUUUUGGUUGAUGUACAAAGUGUUGUUCUCUU